CGGAUCGUUCCUGCGUCUGGCCGUGACGCUCCGUUACCGACGCGUGCUCCGAAGGGGAAGAAGAAAGCCAGUGUGAGACGUCGUCCACGACCCGAUCCCUCCAAGCCGAGACCGGAGGAGCUGCAGGUGGAGGGAGCUCCGACUGAGAGGACCAGGCCAGCCCGUCGCCAGCCCAGGAGAGCCGCCCCCACGUUGGAGGUUGACGCCCCCGCCGAGUCCUCUCCCGC